CCCUUGAGAUGGGGAUAACACUUCCAACGAGGUGCUAAUACCGAAUACGACCACACUUCCGCAUGGCGGCGUGGUGAAAGGAUGGCCUCUGCUUGCAAGCUAUCGCUCGAGGAUGGUCCCGCGUCCCAUUAGCUUGUUGGUGGGGUAACAGCCCACCAAGGCUACGAUGGGUAGCUGGUCUGAGAGGAUGGUCAGCCACACUGGGACUGAGAUACGGCCCAG
rnacentral:rRNA from 1 species